CUACAGGACGGUAGAUCUCCAGGAACGGGGUUUUCACUGCUCUAUGUCACGAUAUUACCUUAUGAUACAAUAUAAUAUUGCACGCUAUUGACAUUUGGACUUGUUUGACAUCGGGAAAUUUGCACAGAGAAUUGGAUUUAUUUUUGUGACGCACCGCAUGGCUCCACAGCGACUACGCCAGGGGUGCCCAACCCUGUUCCUGGGGAUCUACCAUCCUGGUUGGCAGCAAGAACAGAAGCCCCCCAGCUGGCCUGCACAGGAGACCGUGUGGACAACACUAACGGAGUGGCAUAGUGGAAGCGCCAUCAUACGCGCACAGGCAAGUCUCGUAAAGUAGAUAAGUUUAAAAGUUCUUUGUCCACAUUUUCCUGCGCCGUGUGUCUAGGUACUGCAUGGCAAACUGGCGAGCAGCAUUAGCUCUUUGCCUUUGAGUUAUCCGUCCAUCCAUCCGUAUAAAGAGCGAGAGCGAGGCAAAUUACCUGUCUCAUUCUGUCACGUCACUGACAUAUCUGCUUGCGUCUAAACGUGGGGCUGCCUGGCUGCUUCGCAGCUGCCGUUUCCCACUUACACAUCCAGCUCACCAUGGCACCCCCCUGCUAUGUAAUGACACUUCACAAUGAUUCUGCUGGCAGAUUGAUCAACUACAUGGAAAUGCACGGUGCGGGAAUGUGC